GAUGAAGAACGUAGCGAACUGCGAUAAGUAAUGUGAAUUGCAGAAUUCAGUGAAUCAUCGAGUCUUUGAACGCACAUUGCGCCCCCUGGCAUUCCGGGGGGCAUGCCUGUCCGAGCGUCAUUGCUGCCCUUCAAGCCCGGCUUGUGUGUUGGGUCGUCGUCCCCCCCGGGGGACGGGCCCGAAAGGCAGCGGCGGCACCGCGUCCGGUCCUCGAGCGUAUGGGGCUUUGUCACCCGCUCGAUUAGGGCCGGCCGGGCGCCAGCCGGCGUCUCCAACCUUCUAUUUUACCAGGUUGACCUCGGAUCAGGUAGGGAUACCCGCUGAACUUAAGCAUAUCAAUAAGCGGAGGAA
rnacentral:misc_RNA from 1 species